GACGAACGCUGGCGGCGUGCUUAACACAUGCAAGUCGAACGGUAAGGCUCCAGCUUGCUGGGGUACACGAGUGGCGAACGGGUGAGUAACACGUGGGUGACCUGCCCUGCACUUCGGGAUAAGCCUGGGAAACUGGGUCUAAUACCGGAUAGGACCAUGGUGUGGAUACUGUGGUGGAAAGUUUUUUCGGUGUGGGAUGGGCCCGCGGCCUAUCAGCUUGUUGGUGGGGUAAUGGCCUACCAAGGCGGCGACGGGUAGCCGGCCUGAGAGGGUGGACGGCCACAUUGGGACUGAGAGACGGCCCAGACUCCUACGGGAGGCAGCAGUGGGGAAUAUUGCACAAUGGGCGGAAGCCUGAUGCAGCGACGCCGCGUGGGGGAUGACGGCCUUCGGGUUGUAAACUCCUUUCGCCAUCGACGAAGGGUUUCUGACGGUAGAUGGAGAAGAAGCACCGGCUAACUACGUG
rnacentral:rRNA from 1 species